AACGAACGCUGGCGGCAUGCCUAACACAUGCAAGUCGAACGAGACCUCCGGGUCUAUUGGCGCACGGGUGCGUAACGCGUGGGAACCUGCCCUUAGGUUCGGAAUACCUCCCCGAAAGGGGUCCUAAUACCGGAUAAUGUCUUCGGACCAAAGAUUUAUCGCCUUUGGGUGGGCCCGCGUUGGAUUAGCUAGUUGGUAGGGUAAAAGCCUACCAAGGCGACGAUCCAUAGCUGGUCUGAGAGGAUGAUCAGCCACACUGGGACUGAGACACGGCCCAGACUCCUACGGGAGGCAGCAGUGGGGAAUAAUGGACAAUGGGCGAAAGCCUGAUCCAGCAAUGCCGCGUGAGUGAUGAAGGGCUUAGGGUUGUAAAGCUCUUUUACCCGGGAUGAUAAUGACAGUACCGGGAGAAUAAGCUCCGGCUAACUCCGU
rnacentral:rRNA from 1 species